UGUAUUUUCUUUAGUGCCGUCGUUUACAAUCGUCGCCACAUUAGUUCCUAAAUCGUCGCCUUCAUUUCAUAACCUGACCACGAUGUUCCGCUCGUUGCGGCCUUCUCUAGCGACGGCUGCCGCCCGCCGAUUUUCCGGGGAAGCCUUCAUGGCGGCGGCGGAGAACAAAACACUAGAAGGCGGCGCCAGCGUCGGCGCCAGCGUCAGCGCCGGCGCCAGCAUCGUCUCCGGCACAGGCGGUGGUCGAGACACGCUUGGGCGAAGGCUCAUGAGUCUCACUUUCCCCAAACGCAGCGCCGUGAUUGCCAUUCGAAAAUGGCAAGAAGAGGGCCACACUGUUCGCAAGUACGAGCUCAAUCGCAUCGUUCGGGAACUUCGCAAGCUCAAGCGCUACAAGCAUGCACUUGAGGUGUGUGAAUGGAUGACAUUACAGAAAGAUAUGAAACUGCUACCUGGUGACUAUGCAGUUCAUCUGGAUUUGAUUGCAAAAAUCCGUGGCCUGAAUAGCGCAGAAAAGUUUUUCGAGGAUCUCCCUGAUAAAAUGAGAGAUCAAUCGGUCUGCACAGCUCUUCUUCACACAUACGUUCAAAAUAAUCUAUGUGAAAAAGCUGAGGCUUUAAUGGAGAAAAUGUCUGAAUCUGGUUUCUUAAAAUGUCCUCUUUCUUUCAACCACAUGCUAUCUCUUUACAUCUCAAACAAGCAGCUAGAGAAGGUUCCUGAUGUGAUUCAAGUAUUAAAGAAGAACACCAAACCAGAUGUGGUAACAUAUAAUCUUUUGUUGAAUGUUUGCACUUUGCAAAAUGACGUUGAAGCUGCAGAAAACAUUUUCCUUGAGAUGAAGAAGACGAAAACUGAACCGGAUUGGGUAUCAUUUAGCACAUUAGCUAACUUAUAUUCCAAAAAACAACUUACCGAAAAAGCAGCAUCUACUUUGAAGCAGAUGGAGAAAAUGGCAUCUAAAAGAAACAGAAUCUCAUUUUCAUCUCUUCUUAGCUUAUAUACCAAUUUGGGGGAUAAGAAUGGAGUUUUCAGGAUAUGGAAAAAGAUGAAGUCAUCCUUUCGCAAGAUGAGUGAUAGUGAGUAUACUUGCAUGAUAUCCUCUCUUGUGAAACUUAAUGAGCUUGAGGAAGCUGAGAAACUCUAUCCCGAAUGGGAGUCAGUAUCCGGGACGGGUGAUACUCGGGUUUCAAAUAUAUUGCUUGCAGCCUAUAUCAACAAAAACCAAAUGGAACAAGCUGAGAAUUUCUACAAUCGGAUGUCGGUAAAAGGAAUGGUUCCAUCUUACACUACUUGGGAGCUCCUCACAUGGGGUUAUUUGAAAGAGAACCAGAUGGAGAAAGUGCUGCAUUUCCUCAAGAAUGCAGUUGGCAGCGUGAAGAAAUGGAAUGGGGAUGAGAGGUUGGUUAAAGAAGUUUGUAAGAAACUCGAGGAGCAGGGUAACAUUGAAGGGGCAGAGCAGUUGUUAGUUAUUCUUAGAAAUGUUGGUCAUGUGGAUACUGAGAUAUACAAUUCUCUCUUGCGAACCUAUGCAAAAGCUGGGAAAAUGCCUCUCAUUGUUGCUGAAAGAAUGGAAAUGGACAAUGUUCAGUUGAACGACGAGACUCGAGAACUUCUAAGGUUGACCAGCAAGAUGUGUGUGAGUGAAGUUUCAACCACUUUAUACUACAAAACUGAUCAAACCAACUCAGUUCAAUCCGUUUGAAGUAUACUCUUUUGGUUACUUCAGCUUUCUGAAGUAUCAAAUCCAAAAGUUGCAUAUCAGAUUCAGUUGGAAAGUUUUUGCUGGUCCAUUUCAGUUUAGAUGGUUGGUUUUGUCUGUCAGAAUUGGGUCAUCUUUCAGGAAGAAUCGGUUUUGGUCUCUUUCUCUUCAUAGUCCUUAAACUGGUAUGUUGGUUUGACAUUUGCCAUAAAUCCAACCCAGCCCGACCUGCACAGACCCGUGAUUUUUACUAGUAACUUCUGGAAUUUACUCGGCCAAGUUGCGGAAUCCUGAGACACUUUUUCCCUGCUGCAAGUAGUAGUUCUAUGUGCUGUUUUGGCCGUGUUUGCUAAUGAAUCAUUCAUAGUCAGUUAUAUUCAGAAGCUGCCUGUGGAUGAAGCUGCCAUGGCACAAGGUUUUGAUGCGCACUGGUUAAUGGAUUGGACUUACUAAUUGAGGGCAAAUAGCCGAUGGAAAAGGUGAAGGCAUUAUGAGAAAAGCAAAGUUUCCAUUCUCUGGCCUUUUCAACUACAAGCUUUUGGAGGCUUUAAGAAGUUAGUACAUAUAAGUAGCAAUUUUAUUGCUAUAUAUAAUUAUGUGUAUAGCAAUAUUUUAAAAUAAUUGUAAAUAUAGCAUAAUCUAUAAGUGAUAGACUAUAUUGUUGAUAAACUCUUAUUAGUAACUCUUAUUAGUGAUAUGGUCUAUCGUGAUAAACCAUGAA